rnacentral:rRNA from 1 species
GCUCAGCCAUUAACCCAGAUGUACAAAAACAUACAAUCCGCCAGAGUACUACGAGCGAAAAGCUUAAAACUCAAAGGACUUGACGGUGUUCCAUAUCAACCUAGAGGAGCCUGUCCUAUAAACGAUACCCCAACGUUAUACCUCUCCUUCCCUCGCCCCAUCAGCCUAUAUACCGCCGUCGCCAGUCUACCUUAUGAAAGCCAAAAAGUAGGCAAACCCGUCCAACACAGAAACGUCAGGUCAAGGUGUAGCCAAUGAGAAGGUAAGAGAUGGGCUACAUUCUUUAUAAAAAAGACUACAAAAAGCACAAUGAAAUAGUGCCUAAAGGUGGAUUUAGAAGUAAGCUGGACAAGACAAUCCAACCGAACCCCGCCCUGGAACGCGU